UACGUAGGGGGCUAGCGUUGCUCGGAAUCACUGGGCGUAAAGCGCACGUAGGCGGCUUUCUAAGUCGGGGGUGAAAUCCUGGAGCUCAACUCCAGAACUGCCUUCGAUACUGGAAAGCUCGAGUCCGGGAGAGGUGAGUGGAACUGCGAGUGUAGAGGUGAAAUUCGUAGAUAUUCGCAAGAACACCAGUGGCGAAGGCGGCUCACUGGCCCGGUACUGACGCUGAGGUGCGAAAGCGUGGGGAGCAAACAGG
rnacentral:rRNA from 1 species